rnacentral:rRNA from 1 species
UGGGGAAUUUUGGACAAUGGGCGAAAGCCUGAUCCAGCCAUGCCGCGUGAGUGAAGAAGGCCUUCGGGUUGUAAAGCUCUUUUAGUCGGAAAGAAAGAGUCGCAAUGAAUAAUUGUGAUUUAUGACGGUACCGACAGAAAAAGCGCCGGCUAACUACGUGCCAGCAGCCGCGGUAAUACGUAGGGUGCGAGCGUUAAUCGGAAUUACUGGGCGUAAAGGGUGCGCAGGCGGUCUUGCAAGUCAGAUGUGAAAGCCCCGGGCUUAACCUGGGAAUUGCGUUUGAAACUACAAGGCUAGAGUGCAGCAGAGGGGAGUGGAAUUCCAUGUGUAGCAGUGAAAUGCGUAGAGAUGUGGAAGAACACCGAUGGCGAAGGCAGCUCCCUGGGUUGACACUGACGCUCAUGCACGAAAGCGUGGGGAGCAAACAG